CGUAGGGUGCGAGCGUUAAUCGGAAUUACUGGGCGUAAAGCGCGUGUAGGCGGCUCCUUAAGUCUGAUGUGAAAGCCCCGGGCUCAACCUGGGAAGUGCAUUGGAAACUGGGGAACUUGAAUACGGGAGAGGGUAGUGGAAUUCCUGGUGUAGGAGUGAAAUCCGUAGAUAUCAGGAGGAACACCGGUGGCGAAGGCGGCUACCUGGACCGAUAUUGACGCUGAGACGCGAAAGCGUGGGGAGCAAACAGGAUUAGAUACCCUGGUAGUCCACGCCGUAAACGAUGAGUACUAGGUGUUGCGGGUAUUGACCCCUGCAGUGCCGCAGCUAACGCAUUAAGUACUCCGCCUGGGAAGUACGGUCGCAAGACUA
rnacentral:rRNA from 1 species